rnacentral:rRNA from 1 species
GGAGUGCUUGCACUCCUGAUGCUUAGCGGCGGACGGGUGAGUAACACGUAGGUAACCUGCCCAUAAGACUGGGAUAACUACCGGAAACGGUAGCUAAUACCGGAUAGGUUCUUCUCUCGCAUGGGAGAGGAAAGAAAGACGGAGCAAUCUGUCACUUAUGGAUGGACCUGCGGCGCAUUAGCUAGUUGGUGAGGUAACGGCUCACCAAGGCGACGAUGCGUAGCCGACCUGAGAGGGUGAUCGGCCACACUGGGACUGAGACACGGCCCAGACUCCUACGGGAGGCAGCAGUAGGGAAUCUUCCGCAAUGGGCGAAAGCCUGACGGAGCAACGCCGCGUGAGUGAUGAAGGUUUUCGGAUCGUAAAGCUCUGUUGCCAGGGAAGAACGUCCUUAAGAGUAACUGCUUAAGGAGUGACGGUACCUGAGAAGAAAGCCCCGGCUAACUACGUGCCAGCAGCCGCGGUAAUACGUAGGGGGCAAGCGUUGUCCGGAAUUAUUGGGCGUAAAGCGCGCGCAGGCGGUCAUUUAAGUUGGGUGUUUAACCCCAGGGCUCAACCCUGGGUCGCAUCCAAAACUGGGUGACUUGAGUGCAGAAGAGGAGAGUGGAAUUCCACGUGUAGCGGUGAAAUGCGUAGAGAUGUGGAGGAACACCAGUGGCGAAGGCGACUCUCUGGGCUGU